GGCGAAAUAAGAUAUAUGAAGUAAAAAUAAAAAUAUUAAAAAACGCAUAGGUGUUCACACAGCUGUAAGCCGGUUUGACACGCGAUUGAGAGGAUCCUGCCAGCGGCCGCUCCGAACAGGUAUAACUAAGUAGGAGUGGCGCGCGUGGGCGGGCGGCCCCGCAUGAGGAUAGGUGCGCGUCGGCGGGCGGCCCCGCAUGAGGAUAGGUGCGCGUCGAAACGAAUGACACUUUCCUAUUUAUAACAUAGAUCAGUUUUGUUUAAUAUCGAGUCUUUUUGAGUUUCGUUUUCAUGAGUUUUUGUUUAAUGAUGAUGAUGAGCUGUAAGAUAAAUGAUGAGAAUGAUGAGAGUGAUGAUUAUAUAUAAAAACCUGACAUUGGA